UGAGACCGGCUUUUUGGGAUUCGCUCCACCUUACGGUAUCGCAGCCCUCUGUACCGGCCAUUGUAGCAUGCGUGAAGCCCAAGACAUAAGGGGCAUGAUGAUUUGACGUCAUCCCCACCUUCCUCCGAGUUGACCCCGGCAGUCUCCCAUGAGUCCCCGGCAUAACCCGCUGGCAACAUAGGACGAGGGUUGCGCUCGUUGCGGGACUUAACCCAACAUCUCACGACACGAGCUGACGACAACCAUGCACCACCUGUGUACGAGUGUCCAAAGAGAACCCCGUCUCGGGGGCUUUCUCGUACAUGUCAAGCCUUGGUAAGGUUCUUCGCGUUGCAUCGAAUUAAUCCGCAUGCUCCGCCGCUUGUGCGGGCCCCCGUCAAUUCCUUUGAGUUUUAGCCUUGCGGCCGUACUCCCCAGGCGGGGCACUUAAUGCGUUAGCUGCGGCACGGAACUCGUGGAAUGAGCCCCACACCUAGUGCCCAACGUUUACGGCAUGGACUACCAGGGUAUCUAAUCCUGUUCGCUCCCCAUGCUUUCGCUCCUCAGCGUCAGUUGCGGCCCAGAGACCUGCCUUCGCCAUCGGUGUUCCUCCUGAUAUCUGCGCAUUCCACCGCUACACCAGGAAUUCCAGUCUCCCCUACCGCACUCUAGUCUGCCCGUACCCGAUGCAAGCCCGAGGUUGAGCCUCGGGAUUUCACACCAGACGCGACAGACCGCCUACGAGCUCUUUACGCCCAAUAAUUCCGGACAACGCUUGCGCCCUACGUAUUACCGCGGCUGCUGGCACGUAGUUAGCCGGCGCUUCUUCUGCAGGUACCGUCACUUGCGCUUCUUCCCUGCUGAAAGAGGUUUACAACCCGAAGGCCGUCAUCCCUCACGCGGCGUCGCUGCAUCAGGCUUGCGCCCAUUGUGCAAUAUUCCCCACUGCUGCCUCCCGUAGGAGUCUGGGCCGUGUCUCAGUCCCAGUGUGGCCGGUCGCCCUCUCAGGCCGGCUACCCGUCGACGCCUUGGUAGGCCAUCACCCCACCAACAAGCUGAUAGGCCGCGAGCCCAUCCCCCACCGAAAAACUUUCCAACCCACACCAUGCGAUGCGAGCUCAUAUCCGGUAUUAGACCCCGUUUCCAAGGCUUAUCCCGAAGUGGAGGGCAGGUUGCUCAC
rnacentral:rRNA from 1 species